rnacentral:rRNA from 1 species
ACAGGUGCUGCAUGGCUGUCGUCAGCUCGUGUCGUGAGAUGUUGGGUUAAGUCCCGUAACGAGCGCAACCCUUGUCCUUAGUUACCAGCACGUUAUGGUGGGCACUCUAAGGAGACUGCCGGUGACAAACCGGAGGAAGUGGGGUGACGUCAAGUCAUCAUGGCCCUUACGGCCUGGGCUACACACGUGCUACAAUGGUCGGUACAAAGGGUUGCCAAGCCGCGAGGUGGAGCUAAUCCCAUAAAACCGAUCGUAGUCCGGAUCGCAGUCUGCAACUCGACUGCGUGAAGUCGGAAUCGCUAGUAAUCGUGAAUCAGAAUGUCACGGUGAAUACGUUCCCGGGCCUU